rnacentral:rRNA from 1 species
GACGAAGGAUCCAAGCGUUGUCCGGAUUUACUGGGUGUAAAGGGCGCGCAGGCGGGUUAGCAAGUCAGAGGUGAAAUCCUACAGCUUAACUGUAGAACUGCCUUUGAAACUGUUAAUCUUGAGUGCGGAAGAGAGAGACGGAAUUCCAGGUGUAGCGGUGAAAUGCGUAGAUAUCUGGAAGAACACCAGUUGCGAAGGCGGUCUCUUGGUCCGUUACUGACGCUCAGGCGCGAAAGCGUGGGGAGCAAACAGG